rnacentral:rRNA from 1 species
AUACGGAGGAUCCGAGCGUUAUCCGGAUUUAUUGGGUUUAAAGGGUGCGCAGGCGGGAGAUUAAGUCGGCGGUGAAAUUUUGCAGCUCAACUAUAAAAGUGCCUUCGAAACUGGUUUUCUUGAGUAUGGAUGAAGUAGGCGGAAUUUGUGGUGUAGCGGUGAAAUGCAUAGAUAUCACGAGGAACUCCGAUUGCGCAGGCAGCUUACUAAGCCAUAACUGACGCUCAUGCACGAAGGCGUGGGGAUCAAACAGGAUUAGAUACCCUGGUAGUCCACGCAGUAAACGAUGAUUACUCGCUGUUUGCGAUACAAUGUAAGCGGCUAAGCGAAAGCAUUAAGUAAUCCACCUGGGGAGUACGUUCGCAAGAAUGAAACUCAAAGGAAUUGCCGGGG